CAAACCCUAAAGGGGGAGAAGAGAUAUAGACGGAUCUCCCCUCCAAAAGACUCGGCUGGUAUACAUAUUCUAGGAGUUCGAAGGAUAUUUGAGGUUUUAUAGUUGCUGUUUUUUCUUGUUAAAGCAGUGUUGAACUCUGUUUGGUUGGGAUUUCGCCUUUAUUUGGCCAAUCUAUUAGUGAUGUCACUGUUCAGCUAGGUCGAUUUUGGGGCUGAUUUUUUAUGGAAGAAAGCUGACAUUUCAGCUACUUAUUUUUGCUGAAACAAUGGUGUUUGGAAAGUGGUUAAAGGCUAGUUUCACGGCUGAUUUUGUUGGGUUAGGAGCUAGUUUUUUUGUGGUAAUUUUCAAAUUGUUUUGAAGUAUCUUAGGGGGUUAAUGGAUUGGAUGAUGAAGGAUCAUUACAUGGCUACAGUGAGGCAACAUAUAGAAAGAUGAAGAAGAGUGUGUGCUCUUCUGGACGAGCGUUCCUUAACCUUUUGCUAUGGAAAGUUUACGCGAGUGGUAAAAAUCAAACAUGACCCAUAAUACCUUUGUUUAACCACCAGCUGCACAAUGACCUCAAAUUUAGGAUUAAACGUUUCAUGAACAUCGUAGCUUUAGCUUGCUUUAGACGUGAUUAAUAAAUUAUUGUGGUCAUGGGUACGAUUUCCGUGGCAUGGUCA